CCAUCCUCAAAAAUUAGGCUCAAUUAAUACAAUCCGUCCGGACCCAAUCCGCCCUUUACCCUCAUCUGAUAAAAGAAGCUAACAUAGACAUGAAGGAGCUAACUUCAGAAGACAGAAAAAUAAGAAGAGAUCGAUGUCCCCUUGAAAAAAAUGCGAUGUUCCCCCUUGUUCUACCUCCUCACUUCUGAGUUCUAACCUAGAAAUACAGAGAUGUGACCUCCCUUCCCCUAAGGCUAACAAGAGUCGCUGCUCCUCCAUCUGACCAAAAAUGCUACCAGCCUCUUCUAUUCCCUAAAAUAAAAAACCCAAUCUAAGCAACCACUGCCUUCCCCAUAACCCCAUUUCUACCGAAGAACAACAAAAGGAAUCAAGCCAAACAUUUUUUUAACAACACAUCUGUAAACACUCGUGGUCACAGAACGAAGAAACGCAUUUCGCUAGCUUUUGGUGUCAAUUUUUCUGAAUCAAAUCGUUGGUUCAAUUCUGUUGAUUUUGCUAUUUCUGGAACUGCUGAUCUUCCAUUCGAGUUUGCUUCUGCUUUAAUCGGUUUAUUCAUGCUUUUCUAGUGCAACAAGGUUAGUUUGAAACUUUUUUUGUAUUAUGCUUCUUGGUAAUUGAUUAAACAAAUGAGUUCUUGUUAAAGUUUGAAGAUCUGCUCGAUUUCUGAUUAUUGUUAAUCGUAUGUGUAAUAACAAGCCGUAAAGAUUUCCUGUUGUUACUCCUAGCUUUUUAAUGUAUUGAUCCUCUUGUUUGCUUUACUGUUUGUUGUCGUUCUGAAUCUUUAUUUAUUUAUCAUUUGGUAUUGAAUGCCAAAUUUCUUUACUAGGUAAAAAAUGGAAAUGAAAUGUAUUUGGUAUUUGCCAUCUGAUUUUCGAAUGUAUUUGGUAUUGAAUUCUGGUUGGCUUCACUUUUGCCUAAUAUGUAUCUUUUUCCUUAAUAAAAAUCACAAUGGGAGCAUUAUUUAA
rnacentral:lncRNA from 1 species